UAAGAUAAAUAAAAAGUCGUAUGUUGCCAUUCGGUGCUUCUGAUCAGUACAGAAUGUUUUGUUUCUUGAGAGCCUACUCUCAACUAAAUGAUGAUUCAGCCCUUGCCCUGUCUGAGCCCAAAAACCAGUAGGGGGACAGACAUUGGUAUGUGAACAGCAUACAGAGUCUGGGCUAGCCUGCUGUGUCUCUGGGACUCUGGCUUUUGGGGGUGUCUGGGCUGGGUUUUGAAGUGCGAAUAGGAGUGCAGCGGGUAGACAGAGUUAAUCCUCUCCUGCGCUCCCCCAGGGCCUCCGGGUGGUCUUCUUGCUCCUACUCCCUCCAAGCAAGCAAUUGCCACAUGAUUUGUUUUCAGAAUCUGUUUAGGUUUUUCCCCUGCUUCUAAUUUAAUUCUUCCACGUGUUCCCUUAGUCAGGAUGGAGACCCAGUUCCUCCUUGUGCCCCAUGGCCCUCCCUGCAUGGCUGGUCCAGCCCCUGCAUCUCCUGCUCUGGGCUGCGUGCAGUCUCAGCUGGCGCCUUGACCCCUGCCACAACUCCAGCCCCCUUUCCCCGGGACCUUUGCACGUGCCGUUCCCUCUCCCUGGCAAGUGUCACUUCCUCAAAGAAGCCUGCCUUCCUCUUUCCCUCCACUCCCCUAGCCUGGCAUAUCUCCUGAUAGACCUUCCCAUGACACAGAAAGCACCCUUUGACGGUAUGAUCUUACAUGGCAUUUUGUUACUGUUUGAUCAGCUUGUCUACCUCCUGCCACCUCAGCUGAGCUCUGUGUGCGCAGUGGUCUUGCUUACUGUUGCCUACAGUGCCUGGUACUUAGGAGGCCUCAAGACACAUAUGGGUGGAUGGGCCAGUGUGACACAGUGUGGUGCUCUGAGGUGCCGGGUCAGUGUGGUCCCAGACCAAAGCAAACCCCUGGGACCCUUCUCAUUGUUCUAGGUGGCCUGAUGGCAGAGAAGCGGGAUUUCUGCUGGCAGUUGGCAGUGUUUGGCCACACCCUUGUUCCCCAGUGAUUGCUGCAUGACUGGGAACACGAGGGAUCUUCAUUGCCUUUGCUGCUACGUUUUGACAUCAGCUUAAAGAAGAACACCCACACGUACUUCUACACCAGCUUCGCGGCUUACAUCUUCGGCCUGGGCCUUACCAUCGUCCAUCAUGCCAUCUUCAAGCACGCUCAGCCUGCCCUUCUAUACCUGGUCCCCGCCUGCAUCGGCUUUCCCGUCCUGUGGCACUGGCCAAGGGAGAAGUGACAGAGAUGUUCAGCUACGAGUCCUCGGCGGAAAUCCUGCCUCACACCCCGAGACUCACCCACCUUCCCCACAGUCUCGGGCUCCCCAGCCAGCCUGGCCGACUCCAUGCAGCAGAAGCUAGCUGGCCCUCGCCGCCGGCGCCCGCAGAAUCCCAGCGCCAUGUAAUGCC